CUCCACCCCAUGUGGAAACUGCGAUACCUCCACAAUCGCGGCAGGAGCCUCCGCCUUCUGGCUGAAGUCGAGAUGCAGCCACCCAGUCCCAGGCGGCGCUGCCGUAUCAAUGUUACAAUGCCACUGCUGGCGUUGUAUUGUGAUGGCCACAGUGACAUGAGGGUGGACUUCAGGCUCACCAGAGUCAUUCAACGCCCUCAUGGCUGUGCUGGGCGCUGACUGUGACCACGGUUGGGGCCCCGAGAUCUCCUGUCUAGUUUUUAUUUUUUGGCUUGCCAGCGCCACCUCCUAUCGGGUGGUGGCCAGGGCCUUCGACAGGCCCCGGGCUCAGUGCAUGAUGCCAGGGUCCUGAAUAACAGCCCCAUCUUCUAUGAGCAGUCAUCCCCUCCACCAGGAUACUGUAUCCUUGGGGAUGGUGGCUCCCUGCCUGUCCCAACCCAUCUGCCUCAUGACCCCUUCAGGCAGCCUGUCCACCUCCAAGCUACAACUGCUGCCUGUCAAAGGCGAGGUGUGUUGUGGAGAGGUCCUUCGGGAGACUGAAGACGCGAUGGCGGUCCAUCUUCUUAAAGGCCCUGGAGGUGGAUGUGAGGUGCCAGAGGUCAUUGGAGCCAGAUGCAGAUGUCGGGAGGGCAGCAGAGGACCAGCACCAGCACCUCCAGGAAACGUCUCUGGGCAGGAAACAGAAAGAGGAUAGCCAUUCAGUGCUCUGUCCCAGACCACGAUUACAUUUAAAUUAAUACAUACACGACAUUAAAAAAACACACAACGAUGAUUGAAAGCUACAAUUAUUUCUAGAAGGACAAGCUUAGAUAGCUAUCGUAACGGUAUUAAUUAUCGGGCGGCGUGUGGGCAAACGCUCGCGGUGUCAUGUUAACCCGUUAUUAAACUGAGCAUAUCCAUU